GUAUUUUCACUUCUCCAGAAACAGCUCUGCCAGGCAUAGACCUGCUGAGACAGUGUACACUUCCCUACUUCUGAACUCUGACUCCCAGAUCAUAGACAAAGAAACAAAAGGCUAACUGGAGUCUGCUCUGAGCUAUGUGUCUUUAUACAGUGGUUACUCUGGAAACACAGAGGUAGCAGCUCUCCAAGCAAGGGGUUGAACCAUUGCUGAAGGCCCGAGUGAGAAGUAGUCCAGACAGUGCAUAAAACACUGGGUCAAAGAAAGAUUUUCACUCAUAUCCUGUUUCAGAAGGCUAGGUAGCAACAGGGAUGAACACAUGACAACCAAAAAAUUAAAAGGCGGCACAGUUAUGUGUUUGAAAUUCUCUUGUCAUCAUUUCGAUAUUCACCUUCUAAUUUGCUCCAUCUCCUUAUCACUUUAUGUGAACCUUGUCUCAGGAAAAGGUAAGAAAAAUGAAUGCACCAGAUGAUUCAGAUGACUUCCUAUUCUGACACUUUGCAAAGAAAGUAGUGUAUAGAUGUUAUCUGUACAAGGUGAACUUCACCUUGUCUUUCACCACCCGAUUUCAAAAAUAAUAGAUUUAUAAGAUUUCUGUUAAUGUCACCCUUUUCAGCUUGGUUUUUGUUUUUCAUUUUAUCUCUGAACUUGUUACGGUUGCCUAGAACUUAUAGUUCCAGAAUAGUUUAAAUCAUGAAGAAAAAUCAAUUGUUAAUGUUACUUUAACUGCAUCCCUAUCAAUCAGAAACAAAGUUUGGCAUUGAACUGUAAUAUCCAGCUUUACAGAAGUAGUGUACAUCAAAAGUUAGCUCGCUCUGAUGUUAUAAAAAGCUUUCAUGGGAGAAAGAAGUCACAAUUCCUUGGGAUAUUUAUAGUAUUUAAGAAUGCU